GGUGGCUCAGUGGUAGAGUACUUGCCUUGCAUGCAUGAGGACCUGGGUUCAAUUCCUCAGUACCA
rnacentral:tRNA from 1 species